CCCCACAAUGCCGCUCAGAAAAUGGUCCCAUCCCGGAAGUAAGAAAAAUUGCAGUUCCACCCUCAUCCGCUGGGGGCUGGUGCCAGAAGCGAGCAAAUCCUCAUUGACUCCCAUGUUAAAAAUGCCGAUUUCACAGCAGAAAUAAACAUGUUUACAGCCUGGUACCAAAACAUGUUUUUUGUCUAAAUUAUCUAGUUUAUACUCAUGACAACUCUGAGGGGGGUGAAUUUUUUUCUCACUCUUCUGUUUAAGUGUAUUGAAAGCCUAAAAUUCUGUAUAAUUAAUGAGCAUCCGACACACGUGACCGCCGCCUCAGACCCACGUGACCACAGAGCUAGCUCCGUGGAAAGGCCUCAGUACAGCCUCGGUCUGGCUUGGAAACUGCUCCGGCAUUUUGAGUCUCUGUGUUUGUGUAUUCUUCUUUGGAUAUUAUUGGUGCAAUUGUUGGACAAAAUGACUUGCAGUGGUAUUAAUUGCACUAAUAGAGCGUCCAAGGAGUCUCCACUUCAUUUUUUUCGGUAAGUUAAAAUCUAUAUUCGUAUUUUAUGUCACUGCUACCUUUAAACUAGCUGAGUUUACCGAAGUAGCUAGCUAACUAUCAGUUUAACAUGUAGCAUGUACUGUUUAACCAUGAAAUUUAAAUGUAAAAUACGGUAAAAUAAUUAAUAGGGCAUAUUUAGAUGGGUAAUAGGGUAAAACCCAGUGCAUUUAAGAUAAAAAUGGGUUGAAAUAUGACGGAGCGCUAAGAGGGAGACUUCUGUGUCCAUUCUUCCAUCCGGUAAUCCCCAGCGUUCAGGCCGGGCAGCCUGACCGAUCCGGCGCCUACUUGCUGCGCCUAGCUGCUGCGCGGUCUGACCGCUCGUGGAGUUUUUCAUGUCUGACUUUAACCGCAUCUAAUACUGUAUUACGGCGUGAGCGCAACAGCGACAACUUAAUAUCGAUGUGUAAGCAGCCUGAGUGGUAGGGUGUUUUCAUCUGAACCCUCCAGCAGGCUAUGCUGCACUAUUGACGUGUUAGCGCGCGGCGCUAACAACUUAGCAACGUGACAUGUCUCUGAGAAAGCGUAAAACACGGACGCUUCUUCUGAAGCGGAAAAUAACACCUCUUCUUAAGCAGAGCAGGAUGUCGCCUCGGCUCGUUCACGGCCGAGCCGGACUGAGCUCGAUAACAUUGACCAAGCACAGCCACUGGGUCGUUGUAGCUGCCACCAGGCCUGCUGAAGGAACUCCAGCGGGUUUCAUCAGACUCGUAAAGUUUCUUGUUUUUGCUGGGGAUUUCUGUAUUUUACCGCUCCCUCCUGCAGUCUUCCCCUAUUAAAAUUUAAAAUGUGUAACUUUAUGUAUUGUGAUGAAUGACUAAUAUUCAUGUUAAACUGAAACGUUAGGCAUUUAGGGGGAAAAAACAAAAUAAUAAACAUUAUACAGAUGUCAAAUAAAUCAAACUGUAAUUAAACUAUAUAUUUUCAAAGUCAUAUAGACAGCAUGAUGGUUUGUGUGAUCCGCGCGGUUUCACUUACACCCCUUUAAUGAUCAGGCUGUUUUUUAUUAUUUUUAUCAGCUGAUAGCAGUUAAAAUUAUGGUAAAAAAUACUUUUAUCUGUUUUUGAUAACUUAAUGCCCAGGAAGAGCAUCUUCCUGGGCAUUAAAUAUAACCCAAAUGUUUUAUUAUGAGCAGAUCUGAUGAAGGUUUAGACAAGCAGUCUGCAAAGUAAAACUUGUUUAGAGUCCAAACUCUUACUAAAGCUUUUGAAAAGAAAAAAUGGUUGAAUUUUGAGAAAUAUCCACAACAGGGGAGCGAGACCUCUGAAAAAUGUAUAUUUUCUCUGAAUUCAUAGAAUAAUGUGAAGAUUCUGGGAAAAGUUGGGAUUCUGAGAUUAAAACGUAAAUCUUUCUAAUCAUAAUUCUGGCAGUUUUUGUGUCCUUCUGCUGUGGAAAGUCGUGCAACAUGAAGAUACUGAGAAGAUGCUUACAACCUGUAUUUUUAUUCCAUCCAUAAAUAAAAUCAUGAGCUAUUUUUUUAAUCCAAAUUUGAUCCAAAGGGCCAUCGUUGGUUCCAGACCCGUUCUAGAACAUUCCUCUAAUCUUAAAGUCAUCAUCAGUUUCUUCCUUUUAACAAAUAUUUAUUUGUUCAAAUAUUUAAUAUUUAUAACUGGAAUAUUUGUUCCUCCCUCUCCCACUGCAGUUAGUCCUGUCCUGCAACCCUGUUUUUGCAGCUUAGUGAAGCCAACCAUCACUAACCGGGGGGUGGUUUUGGACCCAGAGAUGCGGAUGGACUCCCACAUUAGCCAGGGAAGGACCUGAUUGGUGUCCAGAACCUGUUGAAGAAGCACCAGGCUCUGCAGGCUGAGGUCACAGGUCAUGAACCUCGCAUCAAGGCUGUCACCCAGAAAGGAGAGACCAUGGUGGAAGAAGGUCACUUCGCUGGUGAGGAAGUGAAGACUAAACUGUGGGAGCUUCAUGGACGUUGGGACACGCUGAAGGCCAAGGCGUCCCAGAGGAGGCAGGACCUGGAGGACUCUCUGCAGGCCCAGCAGUACUUUGCGGAUGCUAAUGAGGCCGAGUCCUGGAUGAGGGAGAAGGAGCCCAUCGUUGGAAGUCCAGACUAAGGGAAAGACGAGGACUUGGCCGAGGCUCUCCUGAAGAAGCACGAGGCCCUGAUGUCGGACCUGUCGGCUUACGGCAGCAGCAUCCAGGCCCUGAAGGAGCAGGCCCAGUCCUGCAGGCAACAAGGUGAUCAGCAGGUGCUUUUGUCCUGCAGGACCUGAAGGCCAACGAGUCCCGCCUGAGGGACAUCAACAAGGUGGCAUCUGAACUGGAGUCAGAAGGUCUGAUGGCUGAGGAGGCUCCUAUGGUUCAGGCUCAGCAACAAGAACAUCUGGGUUCUGCUCCUGGAAAGGAUGAAGCCGACUCUAACACGGCGUCACCCUGGAAGACCGUACGGUUGGGCGU